CCAAGAUUGGGAGGAGAUGCCAUGGAGUAGGCAGAGGUUUCAGGCUAAAACCAAAAAGAUUUUCAAUUCAAAGGUUACGCACCAGGUUCUUCUACUUGUUCAAACUCUUGAGUAGUGAGUAGAUGGAAAUCUUCAUAUGGCCAUGCUCUACAAUCUUUAAAGAGAGGUAUGAGUAGAAAUGAUUAUAGUAUCAAGAGAAACAGAAGCAGCAACAGCAGGAGGAGUUUAGUGGUGGAUGUUUCCGGCCACAACUCCGAUCGAGGCGACUGCAGAAUGAGAACGUUCGGUCGCUCUAAUUCUUUUUACUCUGAAGCCAUUGCAGAUUGUUUGGAGUUCAUCAAGAGGUCCUCUCUUUCUGUGGAGCAGAAACAACUCUGCCCAAGACAAGGCAUAUAUUAAUUUCCAUUAAUUAUAUUUAUCAAUAGUAGUUUGAUGAUUUUUGUAUAAAAGGGUAUUUGCUGUCUGUUUUUGGGUUUCAACCAUACAUUUUGUUAGUAUUACUAGAGUUUUGCUUGCCUCCAAUCCUUGGAGAGUGCUUGGAAACUUGAUCCUUAUGUUCUUUCUCGAGAAAAUCCAUGGCAGGAUGACAUAUGUACACAUUACAGAGAAAGAACAUAAGGAUCAAGUUUCCAA
rnacentral:misc_RNA from 1 species